rnacentral:rRNA from 1 species
UACGUAGGGUGCGAGCGUUAAUCGGAAUUACUGGGCGUAAAGCGUGCGCAGGCGGUCUUGUAAGACAGAGGUGAAAUCCCCGGGCUCAACCUGGGAACUGCCUUUGUGACUGCAAGGCUUGAGUGCGGCAGAGGGGGAUGGAAUUCCGCGUGUAGCAGUGAAAUGCGUAGAUAUGCGGAGGAACACCGAUGGCGAAGGCAAUCCCCUGGGCCUGCACUGACGCUCAUGCACGAAAGCGUGGGGAGCAAACAGG